rnacentral:tRNA from 1 species
UUGUAGGUAGCUUAAUAAAAGCUCUUAACUGUUAAUUAAGAUGAUGUUUCCAAACCCUCCAAA